rnacentral:lncRNA from 1 species
CAGAAAUAUUAAGUUACGAUCGGACACGAACAUGAUUCUAACUUUCAGUGAUUCCAUAAAGGUUUCUUCAAAAGAUGAGAGCUGGGUAUUUCAGCUGCACUGGUUAAAUUACUACAGCCGUGGGGGCGGGGGUUAAUUCUCUGCACCCACUCACCACAGAGCAUUCUAUCACGCUUGGCAACUUGGCUUUCCUUGGCUCCACUCUGAACUUUGUGACCCAUUCAGAGGCUUGCCUGAGAGCUGAUCUUGUUUUGGAAGCUCACAAUGGCUCCGCCUCAAAAGGAACGAGCUUCAGACCUGACCUGAAAGGGAGGCACAGACCACAGAUUUCUGCUCCUGAAUCAGGAUAUUCCUGUGAUCCUGGCUAAGCUGUUCGACAUUCUAGAGCUCCAGUCCUCAGCUGUCAAAUGGAAAAAGAAAUCUACCCUUCUCACCCUUACAGCUUUGUUUUGAGGGUCAAACAAGGAUCCCUUGCACUGCCAGAAUUCUGCAUGAGUGAGAUGACUCAUUCUUAAAGAAUACUUUGAGCUGCAAAUAACAGAAAAUCCAACUAACAGUAACUUAAACAAAUAGUGGCCCUAGGACAUCGAGUAAAGAUGAAGUCAUGCUCAGCCGCUUUUGGAGAAGGCGGGGAAGAAUGGAGUAUGCCUAGGAAGGUCCCCACCUGAAACAGUGAAAACGAAAGAAACUUUCAGCAUGUUAACCAGUAACACCUCUCCUCUCCCUUCCCCCCAACCCAG